UACGUAGGGGGCAAGCGUUGUCCGGAAUCAUUGGGCGUAAAGAGCGUGUAGGCGGCUCGGUAAGUCCGCUGUGAAAGUCCAGGGCUCAACCCUGGAAUGCCGGUGGAAACUGUCGAGCUAGAGUCCGGAAGAGGCAAGUGGAAUUCCUGGUGUAGCGGUGAAAUGCGCAGAUAUCAGGAGGAACACCAAUGGCGAAGGCAGCUCGCUGGGACGGUACUGACGCUGAGACGCGAAAGCGUGGGGAGCAAACAGG
rnacentral:rRNA from 1 species